UCCCUGGUGGUCUAGGGGUUAGGAUUUGGCACUCCCACCGCCACGGCCUGGGUUUGAUUCCCAGUCAGGGAA